ACAUGUACAUUAAUUUUAAUAGGCUAACAUUGCAAUUUCAACAUCAUAUCAUUGAACUUGCAUUAUAUAUUGAUUUUACAAAGUUAAUCCACAUAAAUUUGUUAGUGUUUAUAUUCAAACAACACACGUGACGGACCUGACUAAACCUCAUUGGUUCUUGGGAUUCAGUACGUCACAUUGGCUUCCUGAUUCAGUUGUUCGAUACACAACGUGCGUGAUCGUUGGUAAAUGUGGAUUAAAAGUUGAAACUAAAACUGUUAAAUUAUAUAUAGUGAUCAUCAGAGGACUUGGCUGAAACAACGCGAUUCACAUGGAUUACUUCGGCGAUGUUUUUUAUUGCUGUUGCGAUUAACCUUUUGAAAUGUGAGCAGUUUUUAAGUAGGUUAUCAAGUGGAUCUGACAUCGAGGGGAAAUAUACGUUUCUUGGAUUUCAUUAAAGUACAUCGGUUUUUGUUUGAAGAUGAAUGAGAGAACAUGAGGCACAGCGGCAUUCAAAUUGACCAAUCAGAGCCGAGAAUAUCUAAUAAGUCGAAGUAGAGAUGAACAGAUGAAGAUACAGCCCGUAAAAAUACUUAUUCUUGGUGAGUGCCAUGUAGCGACGGAUCAAACGGACACUCAUGUCAAGCUUGAUGAGGACACAGUCAAAGCUUUAAAAGACCUUGUGAUUAAGUCUUCAGUGUCUGAAUGGCAAGAAGAAGUCACCCUCCACUUAAACGUGACAUUUAAACUGCUCUGUGUUUUGGUUCAGCCAUUUGUAGGUUUAUCUCGAGUAAGUUCAAAUGCACUUCUGCAUUUGUCCAGUAACUUUUUGUUUAGAGAAUUACAUCAUUAUGAUUAUAUAAUUAUUCAAUGGUUGCAUAUUCAUAGUGUACUUUUCAUAUUGAUGUAUUAAUG